rnacentral:rRNA from 1 species
UACGUAGGAGACGAGCGUUGUCCGGAGUUACUGGGCGUAAAGGGUGCGCAGGUGGCGGCGCGCGUGGGGGGUGAAAUCGCCCGGCUUAACUGGGCGGGGGCCUUCCAGACGGCGUGGCUUGAGCAGCGGAGGGGGACGUGGAAUUCCGGGUGGAGCGGUGAAAUGCGUAGAGAUCCGGAGGAACACCGACGGCGCAGGCAGCGUCCUGGCCGAUUGCUGACACUGAGGCACGAAAGCUGGGGGAGCAAACAGG